GAUGAACGCUAGCUACAGGCUUAACACAUGCAAGUCGAGGGACCGGCGCACGGGUGAGUAACACGUAUCCAACCUGCCCUUUACUCGGGGAUAGCCUUACGAAAGAAAGAUUAAUACCCGAUAUAAAGGCUGGGGAUGCGUUCCAUUAGGUUGUUGGUGAGGGAAUGGCUAACCAAGCCUUCGAUGGAUAGGGGUGCUGAGAGGAAGGUCCACCACAAUGGAACUGAGACACGGUCCAAACUGCUACGGGAGGCAGCAGUGAGGAAUAUUAGUCAAUGGGCGCUAGCCUGAACCAGCCAAGUAGCGUGAAGAAUGAAGGCUUUUGGGUCGUAAACUUCUUUUAUAGAAGAAGAUGUAUUAGAUGAAUAAGGAUCGGCUAACUCCGUGCCAGCAGCCGCGGUAAUUC
rnacentral:rRNA from 1 species